GUCUAUUUGGAGAUAUAAAGAGUCUGGCCUGCCCACUGAUAAAUUUUUAAAGGGCCGCGGUAAUUUGACCGUGCAAAGGUAGCAUAAUCGUUAGUUUUUUAAUUGAAAUCUUGUAUGAAUGGUUGAACAAAAAAAUAUCUGUCUCUAUACUUUUUUUGAAUUUAACUUUUAAGUGAAAAGGCUUAAAUAUUUUGAAAAGACGAUAAGACCCUGUAAAGCUUAAUAACUUUUAUUAUUUAAUUAAAUUUAUAUCAUAAAAAUUAAGUGACUAAAAUUUAUUUUGUUGGGGCGACAAUAAUAUAAUGUUUAUUAACUGUUAAAAUUUAAGACAAGUAUUAUUGAUUAUAUUUGCAUAGAUGAUCCUUUAAUAUAAAGAUUAUAAGUUUAAGUUACUUCAGGGAUAACAGCGUUAUUUUUCUUGAGAGUUCAUAUCGAAAGAAAAGUUUGCGACCUCGAUGUUGAAUUAGAAUUUCUUUAUAAUUGCAGAAGUUAUAAAAGAAGGUCUGUUCGACCUUUAAAUUUUUACAUGAUUUGAGUUCAAACCGGCGUGAG
rnacentral:rRNA from 1 species